GAUGGUUUUAAGGCAUCCCAAUAGCUAUUGAAGGUUUUAAGGCAAUCUCGGUAUACAAGUUGAACGUGGUGUUAAGUUUUGGUGGUGCAAGUACCUAUUAAAUCUACGUUUUCUCUGUGUUGUGGCCUCUAAAAACCAUGCCACGACAACGCCCAUAAACAGCUUAUGUAGAUAUUGUUUUUGAUGUUGCUUUCGUACUCCUGACAGACACAUCGACUGUUAGUUACUAUAAUAAUAUUCUUCUAUUU